UGGGGAAUAUUGCACAAUGGGCGCAAGCCUGAUGCAGCCAUGCCGCGUGUAUGAAGAAGGCCUUCGGGUUGUAAAGUACUUUCAGCGGGGAGGAAGGGAGUAAAGUUAAUACCUUUGCUCAUUGACGUUACCCGCAGAAGAAGCACCGGCUAACUCCGUGCCAGCAGCCGCGGUAAUACGGAGGGUGCAAGCGUUAAUCGGAAUUACUGGGCGUAAAGCGCACGCAGGCGGUUGAUUGAGUCAGAUGUGAAAUCCCCGGGCUUAACCCGGGAAUUGCAUCUGAUACUGGUCAGCUAGAGUCUUGUAGAGGGGGGUAGAAUUCCAUGUGUAGCGGUGAAAUGCGUAGAGAUGUGGAGGAAUACCGGUGGCGAAGGCGGCCCCCUGGACAAAGAAUGACGCUCAGGUGCGAAAGCGUGGGGAGCAAACAGG
rnacentral:rRNA from 1 species